CUGAAACGCGGCUCUUCUCGGAUCUCAAGCCGCUGGGUUCCCGACCGGAAGUCACGCCAUCUGCUCUCGCGUUGUCCAGUUUAACGCGGACACAGAUUUUGGGACUUCUCGGUCUCCAUACUCCUGUGAGCCAAUUCAGAGAUUUGCGGUCAGCAACCUGGAGAACCGUGGAGCGGAUGGUCUAACUUCCGGUCGGAAACGCAGCAGGGUUGAGAUCUGAGAAGAACCGUUUAUUCAGUUCCACUCUGAAGUUUUCACUUCUUCUCAGUCUACAUAAUUUGGCUGAGUCCUCAAAUAAAAAAUUGACGCUCACAACCAGAAGGACCCACAACGAGAAUAUACAACUAUGUACUAAGGGGCUUUGGGGAGAAGAGGAAGAAAAAAAAUUAAUAUCCCCCCAGUACAUAGUUGCAUAUAUUUUAGUUGUGGGUCCUUCUAGUUGUGGCACGUGGGAUGCCGCCUCAACGUGGCCUGAUGAGUGAUGCCAUGUCCGU
rnacentral:lncRNA from 1 species